rnacentral:rRNA from 1 species
GACGAAGGGGGCUAGCGUUGCUCGGAAUCACUGGGCGUAAAGCGCACGUAGGCGGAUUGCUAAGUCAGGGGUGAAAUCCUGGAGCUCAACUCCAGAACUGCCUUUGAUACUGGCGACCUUGAGUCCGGGAGAGGUGAGUGGAACUGCGAGUGUAGAGGUGAAAUUCGUAGAUGUUCGCAAGAACACCAGUGGCGAAGGCGGCUCACUGGCCCGGUACUGACGCUGAGGUGCGAAAGCGUGGGGAGCAAACAGG